AUGACACCGCUACAAACCUUGCUCCUCCUACUUGUCUUCUAUGCCGCGCUCCUCACCACCGCUGUCUCCGGCGCACCGUCCCCGCCACCAGCGUCGGUGCCGCCUGUGGCAAAAAGCUGUCCUGGCAAAUGCGGGGAAAUAGACAUCCCCUACCCAUUCGGCAUCGGCCCCGGGUGCUCGCUGUCGGGCCGGUUCGCCCUCACAUGCAACGAGACGACAAGUCCUCCCACCCUGCUCCGCCGCGACAUCAAGGUCGCCAACAUCACACUGGAGACGGCGCAGAUGGUGGUCUACACCCACCUGACCUAUAGCUGCGACCUACCGAGCAGCAAGAACACGACCACGAGGGUGAGCGCGGUGCUCCGCGUUCGCAACCCGUUCCUGCUCUCGGCGUCGGCCAACGUGUUCACGGCCAUCGGGUGCAGGUCGACGGCCAGGCUCAGGAGCCGCAGCGUCAGCGACUACCUCACUGGCUGCAUCACGACAUGCCUGAGGGUGAACGACACCGGGGACGACGGCACGCCCUGCAACGGACACGGCUGCUGCGAGACCUCGCUGAUUUCCCGCCUCAAUCAAGUCAACGUCAGCUGGAGCACGCGCGCGCUGGGCACCAACCCUGUGCCUGAAAGCCCGUGCCAGUACGCCUUCGUCUCCACCAAAGGCUGGUACCAUUUCAAGAAAACUGAUCUAAUUGGGAAUAUGACAUUCAUAAAUAGACUUGGACAUGGUCCCGUCGUUCCUGUUGUCCUUGACUGGGCAAUACGGGAUGGAACAUGCCCGUCGGCGCCAGAGGGUGACAACAGUGAGAAUGUUCCCUACGCAUGUGUUAGCGCCCAGAGCUAUUGCGUAAAUGCCAGCAAUGGAGCACGCGGCUAUUUCUGCAGAUGUUCUAAGGGAUACAGUGGCAACCCAUACAUUAAAAAUGGAUGCACAAAUAUUAACGAGUGUGAGCUACGGAGAUCCCCAAACUCAACAAUUUACAAGAACAUGUAUCCUUGUCAUGGAGGGAGAUGCCACGAUAGAGAGGGUGAAUAUGAGUGUAAAUGCAAUUUCGGACGAAGAGGUGAUGGUAAAAGCCACAAGGGUUGUGAACUUGUAGUGUCCACGACUGCUGCAGCGGUGAUAGGAACAAUUGGUGUCAUUGCAUUACUCGCCGUGCUACUGAUAUUCUUACAUAUGGAGAACGAGAAAAGAAAACUGAGAGAUUGUUUCAACAAAAACGGCGGACAAUUACUCAAAAGCCUCAAGGUCGAGAUCUUCACAAAGGAAAAGCUAGACCACAUCACAAAUAACUACCGUUGCAUAAUCGGCCAAGGCGCCUUUGGGAAGGUCUACAAGGGAGCCACUGGCGCCAGAGACAAUGUACGGGUUGCCGUGAAAUGCUCGAUCCCCAUCAACGAGGACUGGAAGAAGGAGUCUUUUGCGAAUGAGAUCACAAUCCAGUCCAAUAUCAGCCACCGGAACCUGGUCCAACUGUUGGGUUGCUGCUUGGAGACGGAGGUGCCCAUGCUGGUCUACGAGUACGUGCCCAGGGGGAGCCUCCACGACGUACUCCACGGUGACAAUAAGGAACCUCUCCCGCUGGAAACACGCUUGGAUAUCGCAAUCUAUUCAGCGGUUGCGCUCGUUUACAUGCACUCGGAGGCGAGUCAGACAUCAAUCAUCCUCCACGGAGAUGUGAAGUCGGGCAACAUCCUCCUGGAUGACGGAUUCACGCCCAAGGUGUCGGACUUCGGGACGUCGAGGCUCAUGUCGAUCGACAAGGACCACACAAACUGGGUGGUCGGGGACAGCAGCUACAUCGACCCCGUGUACAUGAAGACCGGGCUGCUGACCGAGAAAAGUGACGUGUACAGCUUCGGCAUCGUACUACUGGAGCUCGUGACCCGGAAGAAAGCAAGGUAUGACGGGAACCAUAGCCUGCCACUGGAUUAUGUCAAGGCUUCCAUGGGUGGGGCGGUGAGGGAGAUGUUUGAUCCAGAGGUUGCGUCUCGCGGGAAGGAAAAUGAGGAGUGCCUUGAGGAGGUGGGCAAGAUCGCGGUGCAGUGUCUCAAGGAGGAUGUGAACGACAGGCCCACCAUGAAUGAAGUGGCUGAGAGACUUAAAAUAUGUAAGUGCCGGUGGUUGGAGUAUGACAGGAAGACGAAUGAGAUAUGCACUUAG
rnacentral:rRNA from 1 species